rnacentral:rRNA from 1 species
UACGAAGGGGGCUAGCGUUGUUCGGAAUUACUGGGCGUAAAGCGCACGUAGGCGGAUUGUUAAGUUAGGGGUGAAAUCCCGGGGCUCAACCCCGGAACUGCCUUUAAUACUGGCAAUCUCGAGUCCGAGAGAGGUGAGUGGAAUUCCGAGUGUAGAGGUGAAAUUCGUAGAUAUUCGGAGGAACACCAGUGGCGAAGGCGGCUCACUGGCUCGGUACUGACGCUGAGGAGCGAAAGCGUGGGGAGCGAACAGG